UCCUUUAGAGUGUUUUAUUUUAUUUCAUCAUCCACUAAAAUGUUAUUUCCCUAACUACAUUUCCCAAUAAGCAUUUCGGCUAUGCUAGCCGAAUACCAUGUGACCAUCCUUUCUACAUUUAAAUUAGAGAGUUAGCCCUCUCGUUUUGAAUAAAAAAAAAACCCACAUUGGCAAUGGGCUGCAAUAGAGUGGCCACAUAAGAAAGAAGAAUCAAGUUUUGAUCGGCCGUCAUUCGCGGCAUAUACACUAACUACAUUUCCCAUAGACCAUUGCGGCGGCACUUCCGAAAUGCGGAAGUGCCGCCGGUCAUGUGACUUCUUUAAACCCUCUAAAACUACACUUUCCCACCCUCGUUUUUGAUUUUAAUGUGUUAUAAUCAAGCUGUAUUAUUAUAAAGUUUAUGCUUAUUAUGUUAUUUUCGAAAUUUAAAGUUGUAUACAUGUUUUUAUUUUUGAUUGGCUGAACUAAGUUUUGGCGCCAAAAUUCAACUAAUUAUGUUCCUAUAUAACAUCUAUGUGCCAGGUAAACUAUGUUAUUCCAUUUGAAAAAGUCCUUUUUGUGACGAAACGCGUUAUGGAUAUUUGAAUAUUGUGUUUUUAUAUAUAUUAAAGUAUUAUUGG